AUUGAACGCUGGCGGCAUGCUUUACACAUGCAAGUCGAACGGCAGCGCGGGCUUCGGCCUGGCGGCGAGUGGCGAACGGGUGAGUAAUACAUCGGAACGUGCCCAGUAGUGGGGGAUAGCUCGGCGAAAGCCGGAUUAAUACCGCAUACGACCUGAGGGUGAAAGCGGGGGAUCUUCGGACCUCGCGCUAUUGGAGCGGCCGAUGGCAGAUUAGCUAGUUGGUGGGGUAAAGGCCUACCAAGGCGACGAUCUGUAGCUGGUCUGAGAGGACGACAAGCCACACUGGGACUGAGACACGGCCCAGACUCCUACGGGAGGCAGCAGUGGGGAAUUUUGGACAAUGGGCGAAAGCCUGAUCCAGCAAUGCCGCGUGUGUGAUGAAGGCCUUCGGGUUGUAAAGCACUUUUGGCGGGAACGAAAAGGACUGUGCCAAUACCACGGUUCGAUGACGGUACCCGCAGAAUAAGCACCGGCUAACUACGUG
rnacentral:rRNA from 1 species